rnacentral:rRNA from 1 species
UACGUAGGCGGCAAGCGUUGUCCGGAAUUACUGGGUGUAAAGGGAGCGUAGGCGGGGCUGCAAGUCAGAAGUGAAAAUCAUAGGCUCAACUUAUGACCUGCUUUUGAAACUGUAGCUCUUGAGUGAAGUAGAGGCAAGCGGAAUUCCCAGUGUAGCGGUGAAAUGCGUAGAUAUUGGGAGGAACACCAGUGGCGAAGGCGGCUUGCUGGGCUUUUACUGACGCUGGGGCUAGAAAGCGUGGGGAG